UGAGGUGGCACACACCUGUAAUUGCAGAACCCGGGAAGCUGAGGCAGGAGGAUUGCUGUGAGUUCAAGGCCUGCCUGGGCUACACAGUGGGUUCAAGGACAGCCUGAACUACAGAGCAAGACCCUGUCUCAAAAAGAAAACCCCAAAGGCUGGGGAUUUAGCUCAGUGGUGGUGCACCUGCCUGGUAAGCACAAGGUCCUGAGUUCCAUUUCCAGUACAGGAAAAAAAAAAGGAUGGGAAUGUAGGUCAGUGCAAAGACCCUGGGCUCAAUCCUUAUUACUGAAAAGAAAGAAGGAUGCAAAGAAAAGAAAAGAGAAAAGGAGAGGAGAGAGGAGGAAGAGAGGGAGAGGCAGGAAGGGCAGUCGGAGAAUUUCCGGCACCAGAUUCCAGGGCUGGCUGUGACACUGCAGAAGGCGGCGGUGCAGCACGGGCAGAGAGUCCGCGUCUCCUCGCAAGGAUGAGGACCUCUGGCACGUGAAGGGGUGGGGUGCUGUGUGCAUGGCCGUCACUCUGUCACUGGGGAGUGGCAGUACGGAAGCGUUGAGUUAGGCAGCUCUGCUCUGCGGUUGGCUGGGAUGCGAGGCCGGACAGAUGACUGUCCUCCAGGUCUGCCGGGCACAGGUGGAGGCCAUCGUGGUGUCACAGUGCCCUUCCAGGGAGCAGAGACCCCACGGCGGGCACUCCCACCCUGCUGCCUUGGCCACUUGCUCUGCACCCCUGGAGCACUGGGAGGGUCUUGCUGCUGCUGUCACUUCUGCUGGCCUCCUCGUUCGCUGGGGUGGCAAUUUCAGCGUGGCUCAGGGAGGGCUUGUUGAGGGGAGAUCAGGGCAGCGGUGGGGCACUUGCCUCUCUCAACAGGCCCAGGCUCCAUCUUAAGUGCUGGAGAGAAAGGAAUGAAAAAGAAAGGGAGGAAAUGAAGACAAAAAGCCCUGACCUGCGGCUGCUGAGCCCCCAGGAACCAUCCGCUCUGCCUCAGGACAUUUCUGGAGGAUGAAACACUCAGACAAACUGGGAAAGACACCCCGGGAGACAGGCGGGCUGUGCCCUGCACCCUGAAAUGGGCUCGGGCAGAGGCAGUGCGCAGGGUCAGAGGGACGGAGGGGACGCAGUGCCAGGGGCUCUGCCCAGAGACACCCGCACCGGACCUGGGUGCUCUGCAGGCGGCUCCAAAAUGCAUCAAGCAGGGCCGGGCAGAGAGAGGAUUCACCACGAGGAAAGUCAGGAAGGAGAGGCGGAUGAGACAAAGCCGCCUCAGGAAAUCUCCAGUCAGUGCCAGGGACAGCGCAUGUCCUGACUGCAUGUAAUUUAGAAACCAGAAGGAGAAGCCAACUUUGCGAGCCCUACGUAAAGUCGGGAAUUCCAAAAUUCUCUUCUGAGUAACAGAGGCCGAGGAGAACACAGGGGAGGCAAGAAGCUCCGGGGAAGGGAUGCUAAGGGAAAGCUCGAGCCGAGCUGUCUCCGCUCUGCAGUGUCCGGCACAGCAGGAAGACCUUCAGACCUCCCGUCUGAUGACAGCGCCUGACUCCUGUGUCCUGGCCAGCUGCAAACUUCCGGGCAGGCUUGUCCCCAGGUGGGGGACAGAAGGCAGCAAGAAGCAUCCUCAGGGUCUGAUACAGUUGUCGGGGUCCUUGCCCGAAACGCUGAAAGCUCAAACAUGUUUGGAAGCCCACAGCACCAGGCCUAGCCCUGAGCCCACCUCCUCAGACUCCCAGGUGCCAGACAGCCUAGAGCCUCUGGAAGGGAUCCAUCCACCCACUCACUGUGUUGAGCUGCUUUGUUUGGCAAAAAUGAGUAACACAGGAGGGAAAUGCAAACCUGGAGCUACAGAACCAUCUCACGGUUUUGAACACCCCUAAACAUGGAAGACAGACAAAAGACAGAAGCAAAGGUGUUCUGCAGGGGUGAGCAGAUGGGUCCCAGAGGCGCCGGGCGCUUGCUGUGUGUUCGUGUUUGGCCUGCUUCCCUGUGUUCCUGAGAGACUGGGCCUCUGAGCACCAGCGCAGUGCUGAAGUCCCGGAGUUUCCUUGACUCAGAGAAAGGUCACCCCUGAGCAGCUGUGGACCUGACUGCUGAUCACGAAGCCGCUGCUCUCCAAGGGACUGCGCCGCUGGACCCGAGACCACCCGCUCGCCACUCAGAAGCCAAUGCUCGGGAGAUCAGUGGACAGGAAGGAGAGCGGGCGCCAUGGUCCCCCAGCAAGCCUCGUUAGGGGACCCAGGUAGCAGAAGUGGAAAGAGAGCUCCAGGGCCAAGGGCAGGAGGCCGGGCGGGCGUGUGCUGAGGGCCUCUGGUCAUCGGGGCCUGAGUUUUCCUUUCUCUCCUGCCAGAAUGCCCUGGAGACAACAAUCGACUUUCUUCUCUUAGGCCAGUCCCUGUAAUUCUUUAGAAAAGGGGCUAUCUCCUUGAACAGUAAACACUGUUUCACUUUAAAGAACAGGAUUGGCCAGUCCCUGCCCAUGCUUGGGUGUUAUCUGAAGAUGUCAGAUGUCGCAGUCUGUGGGAGGCUGGAGGAUCGCUGAUCAGGGCUGCUUUUCCUGCAGUAGCUGAGCCCAGCAGUUAGUGUCUUAGCCAGACAAAGGUGGUUUUCUUUGGCACUUACAACCCUGGGCAAAGGGAGACACAAAUAUAAUAGGACAAGGGGCAGUUUGCACAGGCGAGCUAACCUAGAGGAGGGUGGGUAAGACACAGUGGUGUUGCCAUUAUUUACACACUGCUGGAUCCCCGGGAAGCCUCCUUCCUCCUGGCCCAGCCCCAGGGCUUGUCCCUGCUGCACCCUAGGAGUCCUGUGCCAGACAGGUGGCUGUGUCUGAUGGAGGCAAACUGGGCCCAACGUGGCACCUGGCACAUUGCGGCCUCGGGCAGAAGACAGGGCUAGAGGAGGCCCAGGUGCGGUGUGGGAGUGAGACUGGAGACCAGGCACAGGAGCAGGGGCCAGAAGCAGGCAGGAAGUGGGCAGGAAGCAGGCAGGAAGUGAAUGGGAAACAGGCAGGAAGUGGGCAGGAAGUGUGUGGGAAGCAGACAGGAAGUAUGUGGGAAACAGGAAGUGGGCAGGAAGCAGGUGGAAAACCUCUCCCCCAUGGAAAUCAUCUGAGCCCCCUGGUGGGGGAGUUGGGAUGGAGGAAGUCUGGAAUCCACGUGGAAACCUCACUUUAGGGAAGUGUGGUGAAGAGCUCAGUGCUGAGACAGCUGCCCAUGGACGGUGGGCCUGGUUGUUGGUGGGACGGGGGUACAUUUUUGUCUCCCCAACCCCUCCCCAAGGCUGAGACUUUGCUUCAGACCCUUGGUGCUGUGUGUUGAAUGUGUUUCCCAAGGGUUCACUUUUAGAAACCGAGUUCCCGAAUUCAUAGGUUUUUAUUUUUUGAUAUUUGCUUUUUGAGACAGGGACUUUCUGUGUAGUUCAGGCUGGCCUUGAACUUGAGGCGAUCCUCCUGCUUCAGCCUCCCAAGCGCCAGGGCAGCAGGUGUGCACUGUCAUGACUGGCUCUUCGUUUAUAUGCUGAUCUGAUUGUAUUUGAGAGGUAAUCAGGAUUUGGGGAGGCCACAAGGGGUCUGUAAUGGUGUUGGUGACUUUUAAGAAAAGGAAGAGCUGCCGUGAGCCAGGCUUUGGCACCAGACCUGGGGUGAGUUUCGCUUGGCUGGUGGCGCUUGGUCACAGUAGCCACGGACCCUUGUGGAGGAUGGUUAGGGGCUCAGGGACAUGGCAGGGCCGAGGGGGGACGUGUGGGUGAUAUUUAAAAAUCAUAGCAGAGGUUCGGGCCUUUUUUCCUUUUCUUACACUCCCCUGCAGGGCAGGUUUCUGAAUCUACUCAUGCUUGUGUGGAAAGAUAGAACCUUUAUCACCAUGGUUCUUAUCAGGAACAGCACAGAACCCCGGGGGGUUAGAAUGCUGUGCCUGGCCCCUUCCCCACCCCACUCUGCAGCUCUGGGGCAGGGCUGCUAACUUGUGCCCAUUAAGCUGGGGCCUUGGUGGCUCGGCGGUCUGGGGCAGCUCUGAGAGCCGCCACGCUGCAGAGUUGGACAGGGAAAACGCUUAGCUCCUGUGUGGCCCUGAGGCUCUGUGUGGAAGGGGAGGAGGAGCAGCCAUGCAGGCUUGCUCUCUCCUCACCGCAGCCCUCACUGUCCCCCAGUGCAGACAGGUAAGUUAAUUAGAUAUCUUGUGGGCAGUUAGACGGGACAGCACACGAGGCGCCAACAUGGAGGACAGUGAAGACACAGGUACUGAAGGCCAGCCCUGUGAAAGGAGAGAAACUACACACCAUGUAGGAUGAAUAGCAGUGACUGAUCUAAACAGGCAUCAGUCACCUGGGUGGGGUGGCUUGUUUCCCCCCUGGAUCCCCAUUUGAUCCAUAUCACCAAAGCAACUCUAUGUCACAGUCUCACUGGUUGCUCAUAGUUUUGUCCACCUUGUGAUUGCUCAUUGGAUCAGUGUUACCUAAGCAACUGUACUUGUCAUCUUACUGGUUGACUACAGUUUUGUCCCACCUUGAACCCGCCUCACCUUGUGGCUUUGCCCCAUAAAACACCUUUGGGAAGUGGGGUGCGCGGGCAGCCCACUCUCCAGUCCCCCUUCUGUCUCGCUGGGACAGAAGCUUUCUUUUUCUCAAUAGAUUUUCCUACUCUUAACCUCCGUUGUUCCUAGAUUUCAUUCUCUGAUUUUAGAGAACACGUAACUCGCACUUCAGACACCUGGCAGGUUUGGGAGUCGCAUCUCUUCCCCUAUAUCUAUCAUCCCCGAGAGGAGGACAAAACACAG
ensembl:lncRNA